UGGUAGAUGUUUGCUUACUGGGUUGGGCUCCUCCUCUGUCCUUCGCCCAGCCAAAGCCUUUUCCUGACACAAUCUCAGCACAAUGAAAAGAUCCCCACCAGCUGGCAAGGCACAGCAAGUCCUGCUGUGGGCCCAACCUGUGGCCCUGAGACGCAUGCAGAUGGAGAGGCUAGAGAAGGAUUCCGCAGAGACUGGACGAGUCAAGCUCUGCCCGAGCACAGUUCUGAAGGGAAUCCCUGUUGGACUGGCCACCAGCUCUGCUUAUUUGUGUCUCCUGCCUCAGAGUCUCCAAGCUGAAGACAGUACAAGAGUAAUGGGCCCAGAGUUGCAGUAUGAUAGCAGAAUGCUUCUGUGAGAAUGAUUAGCAUCUUUCUAAAACCUGGCUGGAAGAUUGAAGAAUAUGGAGUUGGAUGAAGAAGCAUGGAGAGAGGUCAAAAUGUCCUUAGACACGGUCUGCACAAGCCUGUGAGCAGCAGCAGCAGCAGCAGCAGCAGCAGCAGAGCCAGUGGAUAUCAUCAGGGUCACAUAGGAGGCUCCAGCACCCCCAGUUGGCUACAGUACCCAGCACUCAGUAUCUGUGCUGUGAGAACCUCAGUGCGCAGCGUGGGAGCUGUUUCUACCAGGCUCCAGUUUAGUUUCUGCUCAUUUCCUGAACCUGGUUCCUCCACUUACCCAGCAUGUCUAGGAGCAGUGCUGUAGUCCACUUGCAAACUUCCCUUCCUGCACAAGACAGCAAGAAUUGGUUUCCAUUCUAAGAACUUCCUGGAAUAUUCCAGCUUCUAUAUUUGGCCUCUCCCCCAACAAGCUAGCACCCAUUCCACUGCCAGACUCUUAAAAAACACUUUCUUUUAUCAGAUCAUUUCUCCUUAAGAAGCUGCAAUGAAUUUUACAUGAAGUCAAGCUCCUUAUCUUGAUUUUUUUGCAUUCUGAAAAAUAUGACUUCUCUCCGUCUAAUGGAAACUGCUGUUUGCUGUGCUCUCUAGACAGUAGCUUUCACUUUUUCACGAGACCCAAAGAAACACCAAGAUUAAGAACCAAUACACAAAGAACUGAAGCACACAGGAUGAAAAAUUCUCACUUUGCAAUAUGUGAUAAAUGCUGGUAUUUUGUAUUCCUUUCUCUCUUCUUUUUUAAUAAAAUAACAC
ensembl:lncRNA